rnacentral:rRNA from 1 species
AGUGAACGCUGGCGGUAGGCCUAACACAUGCAAGUCGAACGGCAGCACAGUAAGAGCUUGCUCUUACGGGUGGCGAGUGGCGGACGGGUGAGGAAUACAUCGGAAUCUACUUUUUCGUGGGGGAUAACGGAGGGAAACUUACGCUAAUACCGCAUACGACCUACGGGUGAAAGCAGUGGAUCUUCGGACCUUGCGCGAUUGAAUGAGCCGAUGUCGGAUUAGCUAGUUGGCGGGGUAAAGGCCCACCAAGGCGACGAUCCGUAGCUGGUCUGACAGGAUGAUCAGCCACACUGGAACUGAGACACGGUCCAGACUCCUACGGGAGGCAGCAGUGGGGAAUAUUGGACAAUGGGCGCAAGCCUGAUCCAGCCAUACCGCGUGGGUGAGGAAGGCCUUCGGGUUGUAAAGCCCUUUUGUUGGGAAAGAAAAGCAGCAGGUGAAUACCCCGCUGUUCUGACGGUACCCAAAGAAUAAGCACCGGCUAACUUCGUG